rnacentral:tRNA from 1 species
GGAAGCGCACGUUGUCCGGUGACAACCACGGUCUUCAAAACCGGCGAUCGUUAUCUCGCGAUAGCGAUGAUGGGUUCGACUCCCAUUCGCUUCCGCCA